UGAUUUCUUAGUUCAUUUCAUGGAUAUUGCUCGAGAUGAGCUUCGAAAAAGCUUGAUGAGAUUUCUGUGGAGAAGCUGCAGUCUCUUCUAGACCUUGCUUUGCGUACCACAGCAGCUGCAACAGAUCCUUGCCAUGAGGACUUAACAUGUUGCGUGGAAACAUCUUCUUUGCUUAAAAAA